rnacentral:rRNA from 1 species
AUGGUUGUCAUUGCCAUCAAGUGCCCAACAAUUGAGGUGGUGGUUGUCGACAUCUCCAAGCCCCGCAUUCACGCCUGGAACAACGACACCCUCCCGAUCUACGAGCCCGGCCUCGAUGAUGUUGUCAAGGCGUGCAGGGGCAAGAACCUCUUCUUCAGCACCGACGUCGAGAAGCACAUCGCUGAGGCCGACAUCAUCUUUGUCUCGGUGAACACCCCCACCAAGACCCGCAGUCUGGGAGCCGGCAAGGCUGCCGACCUCACCUACUGGGAGAGCGCAGCCCGGAUGAUUGCCGACGUGUCCAACUCCGACAAGAUCGAUGUUGAUGAGUCCACUGUCCCUGUCAAGACCGCAGAGGCCAUUGAGAAGAUCCUGACCCACAACAACAAGGGCAUCAACUACCAGAUCCUGACCAACCCAGAGUUUCCUUGCCGAGGGCACGGCGACCGACGACCUGUUCAAGCCCGACAGAGUGCUCAUCGGUGGCCGGGAGACCCCCGAGGGCAGGAAGGCUGUCCAGGCCAUCAAGGAGGUGUACGCCUACUGGGUGUCCGAGGAGAACAUCGUCACCACCAACCUGUGGUCUGA